CACUAUGUCAACACACAAAGCCUGAUCUCACCUGAUCCCAGAACUUAAGCAGGGUUGAGUCUAGUUAAUACUUGGAUGGGAGACCCUUGUCGAUACCAGGUGCAACAGUGG
rnacentral:rRNA from 1 species